GAUGAACGCUAGCGGCAGGCCUAACACAUGCAAGUCGAGGGGGAAGUUACUUUCGGGUGACUGUGACCGGCGUACGGGUGCGUAACGCGCAUAUAAUCUGCCUUUCACUGGGGGAUGGCCCGCAGCAAUUUGGAUUAAUACCUCAUAGUAUAUAGGGCCGGCAUCGUUUUUAUAUUAAAGCUUAUGUGGUGAAAGAUGAGUAGCCGUCCGAUUAGCUAGUUGGAGAGGAAACGGCUCCCCACGGCGAUGAUAGAUAGGGGUUCUGAGAGGGAUGUCCCCCACACUGGUACUGGGCUACUGACCAGACUCCUACGGGAGGCAGCACUGAGGAAGAUAGCAAUAUGGUCGGAAGACUGAUCCAGCCAUGCCGCGUGCAGGAUGAAGGUCUUAUGGAUUACAAACUUCUUGUGUAAGGGAACAAUAAGGGGUACCCGUAGUUUGAUGACGGUAACUGACGAAUAAGCAUCGGCUAACUCCGUG
rnacentral:rRNA from 1 species